rnacentral:rRNA from 1 species
UACGUAGGGUGCAAGCGUUGUCCGGAAUUAUUGGGCGUAAAGAGCUCGUAGGCGGUUUGUCGCGUCUGCUGUGAAAACGCGGGGCUCAACUCCGCGCCUGCAGUGGGUACGGGCAGACUAGAGUGCAGUAGGGGAGACUGGAAUUCCUGGUGUAGCGGUGGAAUGCGCAGAUAUCAGGAGGAACACCGGUGGCGAAGGCGGGACUCUGGGCCGAUACUGACGCUGAGGAGCGAAAGCGUGGGGAGCGAACAGG